GGCGUAAAGAGCUCGUAGGUGGUUUGUCGCGUUGUUCGUGAAAUCUCACGGCUUAACUGUGAGCGUGCGGGCGAUACGGGCAGACUUGAGUACUGCAGGGGAGACUGGAAUUCCUGGUGUAGCGGUGGAAUGCGCAGAUAUCAGGAGGAACACCGGUGGCGAAGGCGGGUCUCUGGGCAGUAACUGACGCUGAGGAGCGAAAGCGUGGGGAGCGAACAGGAUUAGAUACCCUGGUAGUCCACGCCGUAAACGGUGGGUACUAGGUGUGGGUUUCCUUCCUUGGGAUCCGUGCCGUAGCUAACGCAUUAAGUACCCCGCCUGGGGAGUACGGCCGCAAGGCUAAAACUCAAAGAAAUUGACGGGGGCCCGCACAAGCGGCGGAGCAUGUGGAUUAAUUCGAUGCAACGCGAAGAACCUUACCUGGGUUUGACAUGCACAGGACGCCGGCAGAGAUGUCGGUUCCCUUGUGGCCUGUGUGCAGGUGGUGCAUGGCUGUCGUCAGCUCGUGUCGUGAGAUGUUGGGUUAAGUCCCGCAACGAGCGCAACCCUUGUCUCAUGUUGCCAGCGGGUAAUGCCGGGGACUCGUGAGAGACUGCCGGGGUCAACUCGGAGGAAGGUGGGGAUGACGUCAAGUCAUCAUGCCCCUUAUGUCCAGGGCUUCACACAUGCUACAAUGGCCGGUACAAAGGGCUGCGAUGCCGCGAGGUUAAGCGAAUCCUUUUAAAGCCGGUCUCAGUUCGGAUCGGGGUCUGCAACUCGACCCCGUGAAGUCGGAGUCGCUAGUAAUCGCAG
rnacentral:rRNA from 1 species